rnacentral:rRNA from 1 species
GCAGGCCUAACCACAUGCAAGUCGAGCGGUAGAGAGAAGCUUGCUUCUCUUGAGAGCGGCGGACGGGUGAGUAAUGCCUAGGAAUCUGCCUGGUAGUGGGGGAUAACGUUCGGAAACGGACGCUAAUACCGCAUACGUCCUACGGGAGAAAGCAGGGGACCUUCGGGCCUUGCGCUAUCAGAUGAGCCUAGGUCGGAUUAGCUAGUUGGUGGGGUAAUGGCUCACCAAGGCGACGAUCCGUAACUGGUCUGAGAGGAUGAUCAGUCACACUGGAACUGAGACACGGUCCAGACUCCUACGGGAGGCAGCAGUGGGGAAUAUUGGACAAUGGGCGAAAGCCUGAUCCAGCCAUGCCGCGUGCGUGAAGAAGGUCUUCGGAUUGUAAAGCACUUUAAGUUGGGAGGAAGGGUUGUAGAUUAAUACUCUGCAAUUUUGACGUUACCGACAGAAUAAGCACCGGCUAACUCUGUGCCAGCAGCCGCGGUAAUACAGAGGGUGCAAGCGUUAAUCGGAAUUACUGGGCGUAAAGCGCGCGUAGGUGGUUAGCUAAAGUUGGAUGUGAAAUCC